rnacentral:RNase_P_RNA from 1 species
CGAGAGCAACAGGCGCUCGCUCGAGCUUCGGCUCGAGAGGAAAGUCCGGGCUCCGCAGGGCAGGAUGCCGGGUAACGCCCGGUGAGGGAAACCUCGAGGAAAGUGCCACAGAAAAGCGAACCGCCUGACCGAUUCACGUCGCAUCAGGUAAGGGUGAAACGGUGGGGUAAGAGCCCACCGCAGAGCCGGUAACGGCUCUGGCACGGCAAACCCCAUCCGGAGCAAGGCCACGUAGAGAGGCGUUCGAGGGCUGCCCGCCCGAGCCUCUGGGUAGGCCGCACGAGGCGCGCGGUAACGCGCGUCCUAGAGGAAUGACCGCCACGCCGCGCGAGGCAACGAACGCGGCGAACAGAACCCGGCUUACGGAGCUCUCGUACU